UUCAUUUUAUUUUCUGAAUGUGUACCAUCACAUGUGAACUCAUUCCUCCUCCAUCGUUUACGAUCUCUUUUUACGAGCUCCGCCCUCGAAAAUGCUUCUGAUCAUGUAAACGAAAAGAA
ensembl:ncRNA F56H11.10 ncRNA